GGGGAUGUAGCUCAAACGGUAGAGAGCUCACUUUGCAUGCGAGAGGUGUGGGGUUCAAUACCCUGCAUCUCUA
rfam:Picea glauca, whole genome shotgun sequence.